CUGCUUCCUUGAACUCUAUGCUGUUUCCACGUGGACUUCUACAUUGUGCUUUGGAGAUUGGCGUGGCUCAGUACUUGGACUCUGUGUCAUCUCAACGCUACAACACCAUUCAAAGAAAGAAAUGUGUCCAGGUUUGAAACAACACGAGGGAUUCUCAUUCAUCUCCAUGACCGCUUUUCAGGACUUGCCGCCUUUGAGCAUGCGCUCGCAGAAUGUUUUGAGCCACACACCUGAUUUAUUUCUUUGGAGCUGUAGAGAAAUGAUCGACUGACGUCAUG